rnacentral:rRNA from 1 species
AAUCGAACCCGGAGAUAGCUGGUUCUCCUCGAAAUAGCUUUAGGGCUAGCCUCAUACAAGUCUUGCGGAGGUAGAGCACUGAAUUUCCUAGGGGGCGUCAAAGCUUACCGAAGAAUAUCAAACUCCGAAUGCCGUGUAGAUGUUGUAUGGGAGUCAGACUGUACGAGAUAAGUUGGACAGUCAAAAGGGAAAGAGCCCAGACCUUCAGUUAAGGUCCCAAAGUGUGCGUUAAGUGGAAAAGGAUGUGGGAUUUCGAAGACAACCAGGAUGUUGGCUCAGAAGCAGCCAUACAUUCAAAGAGUGCGUAACAGCUCACUGGUCGAGAGGUCCUGCGCCGAAAAUGUCCGGGGCUGAAACACCACACCGAAGCCGCGGAACCCGUAAGGGUUGGUAGAGGAGCAUUCUUAGGGGAGCGAAGCAUUACCGGAAGGGGAUGUGGACCGCUAAGAAGAGAGAAUGCCGGAAUGAGUAGCGAGAGCAAGGUGGGAAUCCUUGCGGCCGAAUAUCCAAGGUUUCCAGAGUAAAGCUGAUCUGCUCUGGGUAAGUCGGGGCCUAAGGAGAGGCAGAGAUGCGUAUCCGAUGGACAGCAGGUUUAAGAUUCCUGCACCCCUUGUUAUCAGAACUGCGGGGACACGGGAAGGGAAGCAGAGCCGGGAAUGGAAAGCCCGGUGCAAGCGAAGUAGUCGCAGGGUUGGAAAAUCCGCCCUGCAUAAGACGAAGGCGUGAUGCGGAGCGAAAUGAAGUAGUGAAGCUGCGGCCCCUUCCUGUCGAGAAAAGCCGCUAUCGUGUAGCAAGGGCCCGUACCGUAAACCGACACAGGUGGAUGAGGAGAGGAUCCUAAGGCCGGCGGGAGAAGUGUUGUUAAGGAACUCGGCAAAAUGACUCCGUAACUUCGGGAGAAGGAGUGCUGCGCAAGCAGCCGCAGAGAAAUGGCCCAAGCAACUGUUUAGCAAAAACACAGGUCUAUGCGAAACCGAAAGGUGAGGUAUAUGGGCUGACGCCUGCCCGGUGCUGGAAGGUUAAGGGGAGAGGUUAGCGCAAGCGAAGCUUUGAACUUAAGCCCCAGUAAACGGCGGCCGUAACUAUAACGGUCCUAAGGUAGCGAAAUUCCUUGUCGGGUAAGUUCCGACCCGCACGAAAGGCGUAAUGAUUUGAGCGCUGUCUCGACAAUGCAUCCGGUGAAAUUGAAGUACCAGUGAAGAUGCUGGUUACCUGCGCCAGGACGGAAAGACCCCAUGGAGCUUUACUCUAGCUUGAUACUGGGAUUCGAUAUUGCAUGUACAGGAUAGGUGGGAGACUAGGAAGUGGUGACGCCAGUUGCCAUGGAGUCAAUGUUGGGAUACCACCCUUGCAGUAUUGGGUUUCUAACCAGCAGCCGUGAUCCGGCUGGGGGACAAUGUCAGGUGGGGAGUUUGACUGGGGCGGUCGCCUCCGAAAGGGUAUCGGAGGCGCUCAAAGGUUCCCUCAGAAUGGUUGGAAACCAUUCGAAGAGUGCAAAGGCAGAAGGGAGCUUGACUGCGACACCGACGG